AUUGAACGCUGGCGGCAGGCCUAACACAUGCAAGUCGAGCGGAUGAAGGGAGCUUGCUCUCUGAUUCAGCGGCGGACGGGUGAGUAAUGCCUAGGAAUCUGCCCGGUAAUGGGGGAUAACGUUCCGAAAGGAACGCUAAUACCGCAUACGUCCUACGGGAGAAAGCGGGGGAUCUUCGGACCUCGCGUUAUCGGAUGAGCCUAGGUCGGAUUAGCUAGUUGGUGGGGUAAAGGCCUACCAAGGCGACGAUCCGUAACUGGUCUGAGAGGAUGAUCAGUCACACUGGAACUGAGACACGGUCCAGACUCCUACGGGAGGCAGCAGUGGGGAAUAUUGGACAAUGGGCGAAAGCCUGAUCCAGCCAUGCCGCGUGUGUGAAGAAGGUCUUCGGAUUGUAAAGCACUUUAAGUUGGGAGGAAGGGCAGUAAGUUAAUACCUUGCUGUUUUGACGUUACCAACAGAAUAAGCACCGGCUAACUUCGUGCCAGCCGCCGCGGUAAUAC
rnacentral:rRNA from 1 species